rnacentral:rRNA from 1 species
UACGAAGGGGGCUAGCGUUGUUCGGAUUUACUGGGCGUAAAGCGCACGUAGGCGGAUCGAUCAGUCAGGGGUGAAAUCCCAGAGCUCAACUCUGGAACUGCCUUUGAUACUGUCGAUCUGGAGUAUGGAAGAGGUGAGUGGAAUUCCGAGUGUAGAGGUGAAAUUCGUAGAUAUUCGGAGGAACACCAGUGGCGAAGGCGGCUCACUGGCCCGGUACUGACGCUGAGGCACGAAAGCGUGGGGAGCAAACAGG